rnacentral:rRNA from 1 species
GAUGAACGCUGGCGGCGUGCCUAAUACAUGCAAGUCAAGCGAACGGACGAGAAGCUUGCUUCUCUGAUGUUAGCGGCGGACGGGUGAGUAACACGUGGAUAACCUACCUAUAAGACUGGGAUAACUUCGGGAAACCGGAGCUAAUACCGGAUGAUAUUUUGAACCGCAUGGUUCAAAAGUGAAAGACGGUCUUGCUGUCACUUAUAGAUGGAUCCGCGCUGCAUUAGCUAGUUGGUAAGGUAACGGCUUACCAAGGCAACGAUGCAUAGCCGACCUGAGAGGGUGAUCGGCCACACUGGAACUGAGACACGGUCCAGACUCCUACGGGAGGCAGCAGUAGGGAAUCUUCCGCAAUGGGCGAAAGCCUGACGGAGCAACGCCGCGUGAGUGAUGAAGGUCUUCGGAUCGUAAAACUCUGUUAUUAGGGAAGAACAUAUGUGUAAGUAACUGUGCACAUCUUGACGGUACCUAAUCAGAAAGCCACGGCUAACUACGUG